rnacentral:rRNA from 1 species
AGUGAACGCUGGCGGUAGGCCUAACACAUGCAAGUCGAACGGCAGCACAGUAAGAGCUUGCUCUUACGGGUGGCGAGUGGCGGACGGGUGAGGAAUACAUCGGAAUCUACUUUUUCGUGGGGGAUAACGUAGGGAAACUUACGCUAAUACCGCAUACGACCUACGGGUGAAAGCAGGGGAUCUUCGGACCUUGCGCGAUUGAAUGAGCCGAUGUCGGAUUAGCUAGUUGGCGGGGUAAAUGCCCACCAAGGAGACGAUCCGUAUCUGGUCUGAGAGGAUGAUCAGCCACACUGGAACUGAGACACGGUAGAGACUCCUACGGGAGGCAGCAGUGGGGAAUAUUGGACAAUGGGCGCAAGCCUGAUCCAGCCAUACCGCGUGGGUGAAGAAGGCAUUCGGGUUGUAAAGCCCUUUUGUUGGGAAAGAAAAGCAGCAGGUUAAUACCCCGCUGUUCUGACGGUACCCAAAGAAUAAGCACCGGCUAACUUCGUG